rnacentral:rRNA from 1 species
CCUACGGGUGGCAGCAGUGAGGAAUAUUGGUCAAUGGACGAGAGUCUGAACCAGCCAAGUCGCGUGAAGGAUGACUGCCCUAUGUGUUGUAAACUUCUUUUAUCUGGGAAUAAAACAGGGUAUGCAUACCCCCUCGUAUGUACCAUAUGAAUAAGGAUCGGCUAACUCCGUGCCAGCAGCCGCGGUAAUACGGAGGGUCCGAGCGUUAUCCGGAAUUAUUUGGUUUAAAGGGAGCGUAGGGGGACAGUUAAGUCAGGUGGGAAAAUUUGGGGGCUAAACGCAAACAUGCAGUUGAAACUGGCAGUAUAGAGUACAGGAGAGGUGGGCGGAAUUCGUGGUGUAGCGGUGAAAUGCUUAGAUAUCACGAAGAACUCCGAUUGCGAAGGCAGCUAACUGGAGUGCAACUGACACUGAGGCACGAAAGCGUGGGUAUCAAACAGGAUUAGAUACCCGAGUAGUC